GCUGGGUGUGGUGGCCCACGCCUGUAAUCCUAGCACUCUGGGAGGCCGAGGUGGGUGGAUCACCUGAGGCCAGGAGUUGGAGACCAGCCUGGCCAACAUGGUGAAACCCCAUCUCUA
rnacentral:SRP_RNA from 1 species